ensembl:snoRNA SNORD116 Small nucleolar RNA SNORD116
GGAUCAAUGACGACACUCCAAUUACACUCCUUGGAGCGAACAAAAUGAGUGAAAACUCAAAACUGUCAUUCUCAUCUUGAACU